CAAACACCAACUUGGUUCGGAA
rnacentral:miRNA from 1 species